AUGCCUUUGCCCCCCAUGAGCUCCGGCGUUGGGCCAGUGAUAGCGGAGGUGGAGAUGAACGCCGGCGCCGACCAGGAUGCCACUACCGUGUGGGCCACUGUUGUGCAGGCCUGCAGCAUGUUCUAUGACACGCCUGCAACGUUCGACAAAGCAGAAAAAUUGACAGCCGAGACAGCUGGAUAUGGUUCACAGUUGGUUCUUUUCCCAGAAGUCUUUGUCGGUGGCUACCCUCAUGGGUCUGCCUUUGGACUAACUGUUGGCAGUCGAUCUGCAAAGGGAAAAGAAGACUUUUGGAAGUACCAUACAGCUGCCAUAGAUGUGCCUGAGCGCACCGCCGUUCGUCCUGGAGGGAGUUCCAUCAUCUCGCCAUCUAUGGCAGUGUUGGCAGGCCCCAACUAUGAGGGCGAGGCCCUUCUCACAGCUGACCAGGACAUUGGUGAAAUUGUUCGGGCGAAGUUUGAUUUCGACGCUGUGGGAAACUACAAACGGGCUGAGGUGCCGAGCUUGAGCGUGAAUACCGACGCUGUGGGACACUGCAAACGGGCUUAG
rnacentral:rRNA from 1 species